UUAAGAAAAUUAUUGAUUUAUAAACAAUUUCUAAUAUAAUUAAAAAAAAUAUUUUUUUUGUUUUUUUAUUGAUAAAAGAUAAAAUUAUAAAUUUAUGAUAGUAUAAUAGUAUAGUGAUAGAAUAUUGAAAUAUUUGAAAGAUUAAAAUUUAAGAAAGAAAAUUUUAUUUAUUGUACCUUGUGUAUCAGGGUUUAUUAAAUAAUAAUUAUAAAUUUAAUUUUCUCGAGUUUAGAAGGGUAAAGAAAUUAUAAAUUUUAUUGUAAAAUAAAUAUUUUCAAUAAUUUUUUAGUAAUGAAACGUUAUUCGUUUUUAAAUAUAUCUAGUUUUUUAAGAAAUAAAUUUAAUUUAGUUAUUUAUUAUUUAAUUUCCAAUAAUUUUUUAUUUAAAAUUAAUAUAAAUAAAUAAUAUUUUAAGGGAUAAGCUUUAAAAUAAAAAUUGAUAAAUAGGAAAGUUAAAUUUAAAAAUUUAUAGAGAUAAAAGUAUUAAUUUAUUAUAGUGUUUUAUAACAAAUUUUUAUUUAAAUAUAAUUUAUAUUUUUAUUUUCAAUUUUUUAUUAAAAUUAUUAAUUUAAUUUUAUAAUUAAUGUAAUUAUGAUAAAAUUAGUAUAUAAUAAUGUUUAAAAAAAUUAUUAAAUUAAGGUUAAAUUAAGGAAUUCGGCAAAUAUUUUUUUCGCCUGUUUAUUAAAAACAUGUCUUUUUGAAAAUAAUUUAAGGUCUAAUCUGCCCAAUGAUUAUUUAAAUGGCCGCGAUAAUUUGAUCGUGCAAAGGUAGCAUAAUCAUUAGUUUCUUAAUUAGGAACUGGAAUGAAAGGUUGAACGAGAAAAAGACUGUCUCAAUUUAAUUUUUAUUAGAAUUUUAUUUUUAAGUUAAAAAGCUUAAAUAAUUUUAAAAGACGAGAAGACCCUAUAGAGUUUUAUAUUUAAUAAUUUUAUUAAUAGUUUAAGAAUACUUUUAUUAUUAUUAAAUAUUUAGUUGGGGUGACUAGAAAAUUAAAAAAACUUUUCAAUUAAUUAUUCAUUGAUAUAUGUUUAGAUGAUCCAUAAAUUAUGAUUAAAAGAUUAAAUUACCUUAGGGAUAACAGCGUUAUUUUUUUUAAGAGUUCAUAUCGAAAAAAAAGUUUGCGACCUCGAUGUUGGAUUAAAAUUAAUUUUUGGUGUAGGUGCUAAAAUAUUAGGUCUGUUCGACCUUUAAAAUUUUACAUGAUCUGAGUUUAAACCGGUGUAAGCCAGGUUGGUUUCUAUCUUUAAAUUAAAAUUAAUAUUUUAGUACGAAAGGAUUAAAUAUUAUUAAUAAUUAAUAUUAUAUAGAAUAAUAUU
rnacentral:rRNA from 1 species